GACGGACGCUGGCGGCGUGCCUAAUACAUGCAAGUAGAACGCAGUUGCGAGCGUGUGAGUAACGCGUGUGUAACUGCCUCAGCGCGGCGGGGAACUAUUGGAAACGAUAGCUAAUACCGCAUACUAUGAGAUGGACCUGCGUUGUAUUAGCUAGUUGGUGAGGUAAAGGCUCACCAAGGCGACGAUACAUAGCCGACCUGAGAGGGUGAUAGGCUAAACUGGGACUUAGACACGGCCCAGACUCCUACGGGGUGCAGCAGUGGGGGCUGCUCGGCAAUUGACGGAAGGCCGGACGAGCAAAUCCGCGUGAAGGAAGAAGGGGUUACGGUCGUAAAGCUCCGGUGGUACAGAAGCGGUAGCCAACCAGAAAGCGACGGCUAACUUCGUGUCAGCAGCCGCGGUAAUUC
rnacentral:rRNA from 1 species